UUUGCCCAUAUUGUAUCCUUGCACAUCCUCCUCUUCAGAUAAAUUGAGAUUGUUGCCUGUGCUUGCAUCGCAAUUCACUUCAGAAACCUCAAGGCGAUCAAUCAUGAAUGAACCUUCUUUCUCAACUUCAUUACGCACCUCUUUAGGACUUGGAGUGUACUGUGGAAUGUUGAAUGAAUCUAGUUUCUCUUCUUCUAUAACAACCAUAUCCUUUAGAGAAGAAGCUAAGAGGUCCCAUAUGUAACAACAUUCUUUGCUACAAGGAUCGUCACUUUGUCUCCCUAGUAUCGUCAAAACCAUACGCCCUUCACUCACCAUCUCUUCCGCACGAAACUUGAGAAAUGUUGAAAAAUCUUUUUGAAAUUGCUCACAGUAUGCUUUUAUUACGCUAGGUGGGCUUGUUGUUGACAUGUAUAUGUUCCCUUUGUUUAUAUCUAUCAUUUCAGGCACCUGUUGAAACCUGGGAAAGCCACAUGAGACUAUAGGAAGAGUAAACAAAAUGAAGGCUUUUUCUUAGAAAAAGCCUGGUAUAGAAUGAUCCAGGUACACCAGAAAUGUAACACGGUGAAGAAGAGUUGUUGGACACCAUUUGGUUUGUAAGGUUCUUCCGAAACUUUGACACAGAGAGAAAAAUGGCGUUGAAAUCAUUUUGUGGAAGAUCAUUCAAAUCUGUAUUUCGGGUGAUUCAUCGUUACCAAAUUUCUGUCGGAUCUUGUCAACUGACUUGACGAGCUCGGAUGCCACUAAUAAUGUGUUUGGUCCAGAUGAACAUCCAAGAUCCGCCAUGAUUAGGGUUUUGGGGAAGUUCAUAGCAGAAUAGAGAUCGGCCAAAGCAUCAUCAAUUAUAGGUUUUGUCAUUGAUAUAACCUUUCU
rnacentral:lncRNA from 1 species